rnacentral:tRNA from 1 species
AAAGGGAGACCUAAUUCGGGUAUAAGACGAAAAAAUAGUAGUCGAAACCAAGAAUCAAUCCCAAAAGGUCGGAACGAGGUAUGUGGCUUUCAAACUAGGUUCUGGGUUCAUAAAAGACCUGAAUCAGGAACAAGGGCUAUUAGCUCAGGUGGUUAGAGCGCACCCCUGAUAAGGGUGAGGUCCCUGGUUCGAGUCCAGGAUGGCCCACCUGCACAGGUGGCAAAAACAAGAGAAGCGAGGAAUCAGCACCUUAUCUUAUAUACAUAUAUAAGAGAGAAUGCUGGCUCUGAGUACAGAGUCCAGAGGAACCUUGAAAACUGCAUAGAGCUAGGUGAAAAAGCCAAAAAAGAAGACCGCAAG